rnacentral:rRNA from 1 species
AUUGAACGCUGGCGGCAGGCUUAACACAUGCAAGUCGAGCGAGCGGCGGACGGGUGUGUAAUGUCUGGGAAACUGCCUGAUGGAGGGGGAUACCUUCUGGACCCGGUAGCUAAUACCGCAUAACAUCAGAUGUGCCCAGAUGGGAUUAGCUAGUGGGUGGGGUAAUGGCUCACCUAGGCGACGAUCCCUAGCUGGUCUGAGAGGAUGACCAGCCACACGGGAACUGAGACACGGUCCAGACUCCUACGUGAGGCAGCAGUGGGGAAUAUUGCACAAUGGGCGCAAGCCUGAUGCAGCCAUGCCGCGUGUGUGAAGAAGGCCUUCGGGUUGUAAAGCACUUUCAGCGAGGAGGCGUUACCCGCAGAAGAAGCACCGGCUAACUCCGUGCCAGCAGCCGCGGUAAUAC